GUGACAGCCGCCGCGGUAAUACGUAGGGGGCAAGCGUUGUCCGGAAUCAUUGGGCGUAAAGCGCGUGUAGGCGGCUUGGUAAGUCCGGUGUGAAAACUUGGGGCUCAACCCCAAGCGUGCACCGGAUACUGCCUCGCUCGAGUCCGGGAGAGGGAAGCGGAACUCCUAGUGUAGCGGUGAAGUGCGCAGAUAUUAGGAAGAACACCGGUGGCGAAGGCGGCUUCCUGGAACGGUACUGACGCUGAGACGCGAAAGCGUGGGGAGCAAACAGGAUUAGAAACCCUGGUAGUCC
rnacentral:rRNA from 1 species